CAGUAGCCGCGGUAAUACGAAGGGUGCAAGCGUUACUCGGAAUUACUGGGCGUAAAGCGUGCGUAGGUGGUGGUUUAAGUCCGUUGUGAAAGCCCUGGGCUCAACCUGGGAAUUGCAGUGGAUACUGGGUCACUAGAGUGUGGUAGAGGAUAGUGGAAUUUCCGGUGCAGCAGUGAAAUGCGUAGAGAUCGGAAGGAACAUCUGUGGCGAAGGCGACUAUCUGGGCCAACACUGACACUGAGGCACGAAAGCGUGGGGAGCAAACAGGAUUAGAUACCCGGGUAGUCCCUGUCUCUUAUAC
rnacentral:rRNA from 1 species